CCGGCCUGAGAGGGUGAUCGGCCACACUGGGACUGAGACACGUGUCCCAGACUCCUACGGGAGGCAGCAGUGGGGAAUAUUGCACAAUGGGCGCAAGCCUGAUGCAGCGACGCCGCGUGGGGGAUGACGGUCUUCGGAUUGUAAACCCCUUUCAGUAGGGACGAAGCGCAAGUGACGGUACCUGCAGAAGAAGCACCGGCUAACUACGUGCCAGCAGCCGCGGUAAUACGUAGGGUGCGAGCGUUGUCCGGAAUUACUGGGCGUAAAGAGCUCGUAGGCGGUUUGUCACGUCUGCUGUGAAAUCCCUCGGCUUAACCGGGGGCGUGCAGGCGAUACGGGCAGACUUGAGUACUACAGGGGAGACUGGAAUUCCUGGUGUAGCGGUGAAAUGCGCAGAUAUCAGGAGGAACACCGGUGGCGAAGGCGGGUCUCUGGGUAGUAACUGACGCUGAGGAGCGAAAGCAUGGGUAGCGAACAGGAUUAGAUACCCUGGUAGUCCAUGCCGUAAACGGUGGGCGCUAGGUGUGGGGUCCUUCCACGGACUCCGUGCCGUAGCUAACGCAUUAAGCGCCCCGCCUGGGG
rnacentral:rRNA from 1 species